rnacentral:rRNA from 1 species
UGGGGAAUUUUGGACAAUGGGCGAAAGCCUGAUCCAGCAAUGCCGCGUGUGUGAAGAAGGCCUUCGGGUUGUAAAGCACUUUUGUCCGGAAAGAAAUCCUUGGCUCUAAUACAGUCGGGGGAUGACGGUACCGGAAGAAUAAGCACCGGCUAACUACGUGCCAGCAGCCGCGGUAAUACGUAGGGUGCAAGCGUUAAUCGGAAUUACUGGGCGUAAAGCGUGCGCAGGCGGUUUGCUAAGACCGAUGUGAAAUCCCGGGCUCAACCUGGACUGCAUUGGUGACUGGCAGGCUAGAGUAUGGCAGAGGGGGGUGAGAAUUCCACGCGUAGCAGUGAAAUGCGUAGAGAUGUGGAGGAAUACCGAUGGCGAAGGCAGCCCCCUGGCAAGUCACUGACGCUCAUGCACGAAAGCGUGGGGGAGCAAAC